CAAAAAAAAUGGGGUUUAAGGGCUGCAUUAAGCCUGCAGUCAAAGUAGCAGUGGUGGGAGCACCGUGGCUUUCCUCCCUUAGCUGGGCUGCCUGGUUUGUUACCCCAAUGGAGAGCCUCGAACCAGUCUGAGCUGCGAGCUGGAGCUGGUGUUGCUGCUGCCUGGUGGCUUUGAGAGACUUAUUGAUGGAUCUGAAGCCGUACACGAUGUUCAUAAGACUCUCACAGAGCUUUCCAGAAGUGGAAAUAAAACUGAGCAAAAUGCAGCCAACGCACCAGAAAUAAAGCAAAUACGAGGUGUUCAGGAAGGCAGAAAGCGCCUGCAAAUUUGGGUUGAGUUUAUCACUUGGGGCACCCAACCCCUUCUGCUGGCCGAAGCUCAGCAGCUUUGUGCAGCCCCGGGCCAGGAGCCCCCAGCGUUAUUUGGGGCACUGCCUUGGGGUAAAGCAGGGCAGGGGAAUCGGCCUCCUGAAGCUGCUGCUGCUGGGGGCCAGGGGCUGCCCCCGUGCUUACCACUCACCCCGCAGGGCUGCGGUGCCCUUGCACACAAAGUCUAAGGCGUUUGCGAUCUGUUGAUGGAGAACAAAGUCUCUUUUUAUAGUCGUUUCAUUAUGAUGCUUAAUUCCUUCUGCAGAAGCAAUUACGUUCUAUGGGCGGAAAGCAAUAUCGGAGACUUAUUAUUGUUAUUGCCAUCCCACCCGCUCCCUGGCUGGCGGCUGCCUGUGCCCGCAUGCUCGUGGUGCCGCAGGAAUGACAAUCAGUGCAUGGGGCCCUGCCUGCACCCUGACAGAUAACCAGCCGCAAGCCCAGGGCGAGCCCCGUGCACCCAGCAAGCACUCACCUGGGAGGAGCAGAUCGCAUCCGACAGCAGCUUGACAGGGGCUGAUCAAACAUUUGGCGACCUCUGGGAAAGGGAAAAGAUUGGUAACACGCCCCUUGGCUGCGCUCACUUCUUUGUUCCUUGUUUUCCUUACCAAGUUCUCUAGUUAUUCAGGAAAUACAUCAGUAAAUGUAGCAUGCAUGGUUUUGGCUUUGUUUUUUAUUUCUUCACCUAACAAAAGGAAUUAACACCAAUACGUUUUGUUUUCUAUGUCUCCUAGGCUAAAUAAAGUGACCUUUUCAUCUGGUUAAAUUAAUUGUGCAUGUCAAAGUUUUGCUCUGGCUGGUGGCCUGGUUUGUGUAGGUAUUGAGAUGAUCUAAAUAUAAACCAUCCAAACCAAUUGGGCACCUUGCCACUAUCAAAUGUGAGUUUGUUCUGAAGAUUAGUCUGCUUAACAAUGUUUUCUCCAUAAUUAAGUGAUCUUGGUACUGUUUUCCUUCGGAUACGUUUUGAUGGUGCCUUGCACUUCCUUUUGCUCUUGCAGACUUGCAGCUUGGUGGAACAACAUUACUGUUUUGCAGCUCCCGUUUCUCGGGAGGGAUUGUUAACUCCUGAUGUGCAUGGCCAUGUGUUGGCGGUACCAGGAAGGGUCAGAGUUCCCAACUGCACGAGCAGAGGUGGCAGCACCCCGGGGCUGCUCUCCCUGCCCAGCUCCAGCCCCAGCAUUUUCCACUGGGCAGGAUCUGGCCCGGGUGCAAUGGGGCGUGCUGGGGUCCCUCUGCACACAGCGCCUGCGUGGCUGUCUUUUACAGAGCAGCACAAGCCUGAAAUGUACUGGAAAUAAUUCUUGUAUUGAGCGCAUUCAUCUCUGUUUGUUUG